rnacentral:piRNA from 1 species
UUGGAUCCUUACAAGUCCUCCUCAGACUAG